rnacentral:rRNA from 1 species
UACGUAGGGUGCAAGCGUUAAUCGGAAUUACUGGGCGUAAAGCGUGCGCAGGCGGUUAUGUAAGACAGUUGUGAAAUCCCCGGGCUCAACCUGGGAACUGCAUCUGUGACUGCAUAGCUAGAGUACCAAAGAGGGUCGCGGAAUUCCCGGUGUAGAGGUGAAAUUCGUAGAUAUCGGGAGGAACACCGGUGGCGAAGGCGGUUCUCUGGGCAUGAUCUGACGCUGAGGCACGAAGGUCAGGGGAGCAAACGGG